AUUGAACGCUGGCGGCAUGCCUAACACAUGCAAGUCGAACGGCAGCACGGCAGUAGCAAUACUGUGGGUGGCGAGUGGCGGACGGGUGAGGAAUACGUCGGAAUCUGCCCAGUCGUGGGGGAUAACUAGCCGAAAGGUUAGCUAAUACCGCAUACGACCGAGAGGUGAAAGCGGGGGACCGCAAGGCCUCGCGCGAUUGGAUGAGCCGACGUCGGAUUAGCUAGUUGGAGGGGUAAAGGCCCACCAAGGCGACGAUCCGUAGCUGGUCUGAGAGGAUGAUCAGCCACACUGGAACUGAGGCACGGUCCAGACUCCUACGGGAGGCAGCAGUGGGGAAUAUUGGACAAUGGGCGCAAGCCUGAUCCAGCAAUGCCGCGUGUGUGAAGAAGGCCUCGG
rnacentral:rRNA from 1 species